rnacentral:rRNA from 1 species
GAUGAACGCUGGCGGCGUGCCUAAUACAUGCCAGUCGAGCGAACAGACGAGGAGCUUGCUCCUCUGACGUUAGCGGCGGACGGGUGAGUAACACGUGGAUAACCUACCUAUAAGACUGGGAUAACUUCGGGAAACCGGAGCUAAUACCGGAUAAUAUAUUGAACCGCAUGGUUCAAUAGUGAAAGACGGUUUUGCUGUCACUUAUAGAUGGAUCCGCGCCGCAUUAGCUAGUUGGUAAGGUAAAGGCUUACCAAGGCGACGAUGCGUAGCCGACCUGAGAGGGUGAUCGGCCACACGGGAACUGAGACACGGUCCAGACUCCUACGGGAGGCAGCAGUAGGGAAUCUUCCGCAAUGGGCGAAAGCCUGACGGAGCAACGCCGCGUGAGUGAUGAAGGUCUUCGGAUCGUAAAACUCUGUUAUUAGGGAAGAACAAAUGUGUAAGUAACUAUGCACGUCUUGACGGUACCUAAUCAGAAAGCCACGGCUAACUACGUG